GGGAGUGAAAUAGAACCUGAAACCCUGCACUUACAAGCUGUGGAAGCACAUUUCUUGUGUGACCGCGUACUUUUUGUAGAACGGGCCAACGAGUUACGUUAAGUAGCAAGGUUAAGCACUUAAGGUGCGGAGCCAUAGCGAAAGCGAGUUUUAACUGAGCGUUCAGUUACUUGACGUAGACCCGAAACCGGGCGACCUACCCAUGAGCAGGAUGAAGCGAAAGUAAAAUUUCGUGGAGGUCCGAACCCACGAGCGUUGAAAAGCUCGGGGAUGACUUGUGGGUAGCGGUGAAAUUCCAAUCGAGCCCGGAGAUAGCUGGUUCUCCCCGAAAUAGCUUUAGGGCUAGCCUCAAGGUGAGAGAUACGGAGGUAGAGCACUG
rnacentral:rRNA from 1 species